rnacentral:misc_RNA from 1 species
UUUCCGUAGGUGAACCUGCGGAAGGAUCAUUAACAAAUCAAGGAUUGUGUGUGGGUUUUGCAUACUAUGUGUGUGCAAGGUCUCAUGCAUGAUACACAUUUGUGCUCCAAGUUCGUCUUGGGUGCAUUUAAAAAAUAUUCAUGAUAUUAUUGUAUUAGUGUGUUUUGUAAAACAAGAAAAUCUAUAAAUACUUUUAACAAUGGAUCUCUUGGCUCUUGCAUCGAUGAAGAACGCAGC